rnacentral:rRNA from 1 species
GGUGUAGGCGGCUCUUCAAGUCGGAUGUGAAAUCUCCUGGCUUAACUGGGAGGGGUCAUCCGAUACUGGAAAGCUAGAGUGCAGCAUAGGGAAGCGGAACCCCCGGUGUAGUGGUGAAAUGCGUAGAUAUCGGGAAGAACACCAGUGGCGAAAGCGGCUUUCUGGGCUGUUACUGACGCUGAGACCCGAAGGCGUGGGGAGCAAACAGGAUCAGAUACCCUGGUAGUCCACGCAGUAAACUAUGGAUACUAGGUAUAGGGAGUAUCGACCCUCUCUGUGCCGAAGCUAACGCUUUAAGUAUCCCGCCUGGGGACUACGGUCGCAAGACUAAA